rnacentral:rRNA from 1 species
GAUGAACGCUGGCGGCGUACUUAACACAUGCAAGUCGAACGGUGAAGCAGAGCUUGCUCUGUGGAUCAGUGGCGAACGGGUGAGUAACACGUGAGCAAUCUGCCCCGGACUCUGGGAUAACAGUUGGAAACAGCUGCUAAUACUGGAUACGAGCUAGGGAGGCAUCUCCAUUAGCUAGAAAGAAUUUCGGUCUGGGAUGAGCUCGCGGCCUAUCAGCUUGUUGGUGAGGUAAUGGCUCACCAAGGCGUCGACGGGUAGCCGGCCUGAGAGGGUGACCGGCCACACUGGGACUGAGACACGGCCCAGACUCCUACGGGAGGCAGCAGUGGGGAAUAUUGCACAAUGGGCGAAAGCCUGAUGCAGCAACGCCGCGUGAGGGAUGACGGCCUUCGGGUUGUAAACCUCUUUUAGCAGGGAAGAAGCGAAAGUGACGGUACCUGCAGAAAAAGCGCCGGCUAACUACGUGCCAGCCGCCGCCGUAA